AUGGCUCAGGAUGAACGCUAGCGGGAGGCCUAACACAUGCAAGCCGAGCGGUAUAGAUCUUUCGGGAUCUAGAGAGCGGCGUACGGGUGCGGAACACGUGUGCAACCUGCCUUUAUCUGGGGGAUAGCCUUUCGAAAGGGAGAUUAAUACCCCAUAAUAUAUCAGAUGGCAUCAUUUGAUAUUGAAAACUCCGGUGGAUAGAGAUGGGCACGCGCAAGAUUAGAUAGUUGGUGAGGUAACGGCUCACCAAGUCUACGAUCUUUAGGGGGCCUGAGAGGGUGAUCCCCCACACUGGUACUGAGACACGGACCAGACUCCUACGGGAGGCAGCAGUGAGGAAUAUUGGACAAUGGGUGAGAGCCUGAUCCAGCCAUCCCGCGUGAAGGACGACGGCCCUAUGGGUUGUAAACUUCUUUUGUAUAGGGAUAAACCUACCCUCGUGAGGGUAGCUGAAGGUACUAUACGAAUAAGCACCGGCUAACUCCGUGCCAGCAGCCGCGGUAAUACGGAGGGUGCAAGCGUUAUCCGGAUUUAUUGGGUUUAAAGGGUCCGUAGGCGGAUGUGUAAGUCAGUGGUGAAAUCUCACAGCUUAACUGUGAAACUGCCAUUGAUACUGCAUGUCUUGAGUGUUGUUGAAGUAGCUGGAAUAAGUAGUGUAGCGGUGAAAUGCAUAGAUAUUACUUAGAACACCAAUUGCGAAGGCAGGUUACUAAGCAACAACUGACGCUGAUGGACGAAAGCGUGGGGAGCGAACAGGAUUAGAUACCCUGGUAGUCCACGCCGUAAACGAUGCUAACUCGUA
rnacentral:rRNA from 1 species